rnacentral:lncRNA from 1 species
AUUGUUGAACCCAUUUCAUUAGCAAUGGUACCUUAUGUACAUACCCAGAAUUGUGUAAUUCAAUAUCUUCUCAAAGAUAGUGAAAUUUAUUACAUGACCAAUCUUAAAGAAUUGUAAAUUUACCAGCCUCUUGCUGGACAACUACGACCUUACACACCGUAAGUAUAAUCUAAAUCAUACCAACUGCAUAUCAUACUACUUUCCCUUUGUAGUAAUUACGUGGAAAUCAACAAAGUAUUUCCUAUCUGCGAUAAUUCGAUUACAUACCAAUAUCACCACUCCAGCAUACAUCAAUGGGCUCUCACAAAAAAAUAGGGAUCUAUGUGAGAAAUAAAAAAUUUAUCCGUCAAUCAAAAUUAUUCAUAGCCCGUAUGCUGAUUGCAUCAGCAAGAAGGACAUUUCUGACAUUAGGGGGAGAUUAGUACCACAAAAAAUGCCUAGAAAUAAAUUAGAAAUGUUAUUCAUAUUCAGUCC